rnacentral:lncRNA from 13 species
CUGGAAUUUAGAAUUUGAUGAAACAUUGUAUAGGCAAGCAGGGGGUUCUGGGAUAUGCAUCACAGAGCCUGAAAGAACACCAAGAUCACAGAACUUGUUAGCCUCUUAGAAACAUUUUAGAUAAUAAAACACAUAAUAUCACUAUCAUACAAGAUGUAAACAAGAAAAUGGUGGUAAAGUAUCCAAGGGUCCUCCCUCCUAGCAGGAUCCUCCAUCCCAAUCUUGGGAGAGUGAGAGACCACGAGCCUGGAAGAACAGCCCAGUGGGGAGUGAGUCGAGCCUCCUCUGGGUCCCAGAACCCAGCAACAAGUACUCUCAGAGUAAUUUAUCUGUAAUUAUGGUUUGGAAAACUGGGACAGAGUCGAUGAAAGUCUUAACACUUGAAGUUUCAUCAUGUUCUGUUACAACUUAAAAUUUAGGGAGACAUUCUUAACCCAAGUCUGUCUCUUAAAAUCUCUGGUUCCAGGAUACAAACUAUGAGAAAGAGCAUGUAAAGACAUGCAAAGAACUGGGAAGUGAACUAAAUUUAGAGACUGAAGACAAAGGAUUGGAAUUAUUUCCUUCUUCACAGCUAAUAAACAGUGAUUUCCCGAGUAUUUUAUACUAUAC